GGAAGCUUCAACGAUAGUUUGUGUCUUCACUCUCCUUAAACAUUGCCUUUUCCAGUGUUGAAUCGAAAGGAGGGACAAGGCAAGAAGGCAGUCCGUGGGCAAGCCAGUGGUCGGGGGCUGGGGCGAAGCAACGUGGUCCGUGUCCAAGCAAGUCGAGGAUCAGGGGAGGCAAUCCGGAAAGGAGUCGAGGCACACAGCUCGAUCACAGGAGAACACGGGAAGACAACAGGAACAUCAGACACAGAAACAAGGAAGUCACAGGAGGAGAGGCAGACACGGGGUGCUUACUAAGUCCCAGGUGUGCGGAUUGCUGAUCGCCCGCAGCCUUGCCGGCGUGUGGGCGCGAUGCGGCCAGCGCGAGCAGGAGCGUGUUCUGGCGUGCUGCCAACGGAGGUGCUG